rnacentral:rRNA from 1 species
ACUCCUACGGGAGGCAGCAGUGGGGAAUAUUGCACAAUGGGCGCAAGCCUGAUGCAGCCAUGCCGCGUGUGUGAAGAAGGCCUUCGGGUUGUAAACCUCUGUUAGCAGGGAAGAAGAGAGAUUGACGGUACCUGCAGAGAAAGCGCCGGCUAACUACGUGCCAGCAGCCGCGGUAAUACGUAGGGCGCGAGCGUUGUCCGGAAUUAUUGGGCGUAAAGAGCUUGUAGGCGGUUUGUCGCGUCUGCUGUGAAAGGCCGGAGCUUAACUCCGUGUAUUGCAGUGGGUACGGGCAGACUAGAGUGCAGUAGGGGAGACUGAAUUCCUGGUNUAGCGGGUGGAAUGCGCAGAUAUCAGG